GGAAAACACUACAUCCAACAAUGGGAAAAGGGGAAUUGUAUCAUCUCAUCUGCUGUGAACAAACCCCCAGAAUCCUGUGCCCUGGGGGAAUCAUGUCACUGGCGCUAACUACCACGGCCACAGAAAAUUUAAUAAAAGCCUUUGUGACAGCAAGUGGCUCUCAAGAGCCCUGGAUUUUUCAGGAAUCUACCCUACUAGAUCAUGAUCCUGUCCUUUAAGGGGUCAAUGCUAAUGAAUCUAUUCAAAUCAGGGCCACACCCUAAUCUAGUCAGAGUUGGCCAUACUGUGAUUUGUUUUUUUGCCAUUUCUUGGUCCGCUCCCAUGGCAUAUGGCAGUUCCCAGGCUAGGGGUCUAAUCGGAGCUACAGCUGCGGGCCUUCACCACAGCCACAGCAAUUCCAGAUCCAAGCUGAGUCUAUGGCCUACACUACAGCUCACAGCAAUGCCGGAU
rnacentral:lncRNA from 1 species